GUGCUUACUUCAGCAGCACAUAUACUAAAAUUGGGACAGUAUAGAAAAGAUUAGCAUGGCCCCUGCACAAGGAUGACAUGCAGAUUCGUGAAGCGUUCCAUAUUUUC